rnacentral:misc_RNA from 1 species
GGGGUAUGGUGGGGGAGUGGCUUGUUGUGGCGUGGGGUCAAAUAUUCAGUAAAAUGGACUGUAUUCUCAUAAACCAUAAGAAAGCAGCCAAUAGAGUGGAGUCUGCCUGGGUUAAAGCUGGCAGUAGAAAGGCAGUUUUUCAUUGCAUGUGGAGAAUAGUACUUUUUUCUUUUUAUCAGAGUUCAGAAUAGUACUGCACAAGCAGGCUUUACACUCCAAGACAAGGACCUUGAACUCUAAACCAUAUCGCUGGUGAGUGGUGAUGGUACUAAUUGUGAAUUAACAAAUAGUAUUGGCUUAUAACAGUUUUAUUUGAUCACAUUUCCAUUGUUUAGAUUCUCUUUUUCCUGUUCCCUUUGUCACCGAAUCAGAUGUUGCAGAGAAAUGUGGACAUGGGUUUGAAUAUGACAUUAGUUUCUGGGCCGAGACAACAAAUUGGAUAGAAUCGAGACCCACUGUCUCCAUAUCAAACCUAUGUCUUGCCCAACUAGUGGAGAAAGAUAACGGAUCGGGCUCUGGUUGAACUUUGCCGAAUGCCAACCCAUUAAGUUUUUAAUUAAACUCUAAUCACUUCCAUUAAUUUAAAGAUAAAGAUUGAAUCAAGGCAAAUAGAUCUCAAAUUUUGAGCUUGAACAAAAUCCUACAAAAAAGUACUAAAAGCUAGCGAUAAAAUUGCUUAUAAGAACUUGAAUUCAAAAAAAAGAAAAAAAAACGUGAUAUUGGACUAUUCAAUAUGAAAAUUAAAGCCGAAGCUGUCAUGUGGACAGGGCUCGGGUGGCCAAUGGUC